rnacentral:rRNA from 1 species
AGAGUUUGAUCCUGGCUCAGGACGAACGCUGGCGGUAUGCCUAACACAUGCAAGUCGAACGAGAUUCUUUUUUUGUUUACAAAGAAAUGAUUGCAGUGGCGGACGGGUGAGGAACACGUAAGAACUUACCUUUUGGCGGGGGAUAACAACGGGAAACUGUUGCUAAUACCCCAUAACGCUGAGGAGCGAAAGGGAAACUGCCAAAAGAGAGGCUUGCGUCUGAUUAGCUAGUUGGUGGAGGUAAAUGCUCCCCAAGGCGACGAUCAGUAGCUGGUCUGAGAGGAUGAUCAGCCACACUGGGACUGAGACACGGCCCAGACUCCUACGGGAGGCAGCAGUGGGGAAUUUUCCACAAUGGGCGAAAGCCUGAUGGAGCAAUACCGCGUGAAGGAUGAAGGAUCGUGGUCCGUAAACUUCUUUUCUUAACGAAGAAAUUCUGACGGUAGUUAAGGAAUAAGCACCGGCUAACUCCGUGCCAGCAGCCGCGGUAAUACGGGGGGUGCAAGCGUUGUCCUGAAUGAUUGGGCGUAAAGCAUCUGUAGGUGGUUCUUAAAGUCGACUGUUAAAGCCCAGGGCUCAACUUUGGAUAAGCGGUCGAGUACUUAAGAACUUGAGUAUGGUAGGGGUAGAGGGAAUUCCUAGUGGAGCGGUGAAAUGCACAGAGAUUAGGAAGAACACCAAAGGCGAAGGCACUCUACUGGGCCAUGACUGACACUGAGAGAUGAAAGUCGGGGGAGCGAAAAGGAUUAGAUACCCUUGUAGUCCCGACCGUAAACGAUGGAUACUAAGUGCUGACAACAUCAGUGCUGUAGCUAACGCGUUAAGUAUCCCGCCUGGGGAGUAUGCUCGCAAGAGUGAAACUCAAAGGAAUUGACGGG